UUGCUUCGGCAGCCCAUGUACUAAAAUUGGAACAAUACAGAGAUAAUGUGCAUAGCCCUUCGCAAAAAUGACAUUUGAAAUCGUGAAGCGUUCCACAAUUUU